GACGAACGCUGGCGGCGUGCUUAACACAUGCAAGUCGAACGGAAAGGCCCUGCUUUUGUGGGGUGCUCGAGUGGCGAACGGGUGAGUAACACGUGAGUAACCUGCCCUAGACUUUGGGAUAACUUCAGGAAACUGGGGCUAAUACCGGAUAGGAGCUCAUGCUGCAUGGUGGGGGUUGGAAAGUUUCGGCGGUUGGGGAUGGACUCGCGGCUUAUCAGCUUGUUGGUGGGGUAGUGGCUUACCAAGGCUUUGACGGGUAGCCGGCCUGGGAGGGUGACCGGCCAUAUUGGGACUGAGAUACGGCCCAGACUCCUACGGGAGGCAGCAGUGGGGAAUAUUGCACAAUGGGCGGAAGCCUGAUGCGGCAACGCCGCGUGCGGGAUGACGGCCUUCGGGUUGUAAACCGCUUUCGCCUGUGACGAAGCGUGAGUGACGGUAAUGGGUAAAGAAGCACCGGCUAACUACGUG
rnacentral:rRNA from 1 species